CCUACGGGAGGCAGCAGUGAGGAAUAUUGGACAAUGGCCGGAAGGCUGAUCCAGCCAUGCCGCGUGCAGGAUAAGGUCCUAUGGAUUGUAAACUGCUUUUGAGAGGGAGCAAUAAGUGUGACGGGUCACACGAUGAGAGUACCUUUCGAAUAAGCAUCGGCUAACUCCGUGCCAGCAGCCGCGGUAAU
rnacentral:rRNA from 1 species